rnacentral:rRNA from 1 species
UACGUAGGGUGCAAGCGUUGUCCGGAAUUAUUGGGCGUAAAGAGCUCGUAGGCGGUCUGUCGCGUCUGCUGUGAAAACUCAGGGCUUAACCCCGAGCCUGCAGUGGAUACGGGCAGACUAGAGGUAGGUAGGGGAGAAUGGAAUUCCCGGUGUAGCGGUGAAAUGCGCAGAUAUCAGGAGGAACACCGAUGGCGAAGGCAGGUCUCUGGGCCGAUACUGACGCUGAGGAGCGAAAGCGUGGGGAGCGAACAGG